rnacentral:rRNA from 1 species
UGGGGAAUAUUGCACAAUGGGCGCAAGCCUGAUGCAGCCAUGCCGCGUGUAUGAAGAAGGCCUUCGGGUUGUAAAGUACUUUCAGCGGGGAGGAAGGGAGUAAAGUUAAUACCUUUACUCAUUGACGUUACCCGCAGAAGAAGCACCGGCUAACUCCGUGCCAGCAGCCGCGGUAAUACGGAGGGUGCAAGCAUUAAUCGGAAUUACUGGGCGUAAAGCGCACGCAGGCGGUUUGUUAAGUCAGAUGUGAAAUCCCCGGGCUCAACCUGGGAACUGCAUCUGAUACUGGCAAGCUUGAGUCUCGUAGAGGGGGGUAGAAUUCCAGGUGUAGCGGUGAAACGCGUAGAGAUCUGGAGGAAUACCGGUGGCGAAGGCGGCCCCCUGGACGAAGACUGACGCUCAGGUGCGAAAGCGUGGGGAGCAAACAGG